UUGAGACGGGAAUUGAAAUUUUUUAUCUUUACCAAUUUGUUAGCUCAAACAUUUUCAUUUUCUCCUCUCUCAUCUGUUUCUCUCAAACAAAACAAACAAAUAUAUCCAAAUAUGCCCACAAUGUAUCUCUGUUUCUCUCACUCUCUCCAUCUGUUUCUGUUUCUCUCUAUUAUUCACACAAGCACAAACCCUAGACCACCAUUCAAAACCACCACCACCACCAAAAAUGUCUCACGCCGUGGUGGCGUCGCCCUAUUUCCCCACCGUGAGGUCGGCGGCGAACUGACCAAGGCAGAGGUCGGCGAACUGAGGUCGGCGGCGAACUGACCAAACCAGGUAGCAGUGCGUGGAGCCGCCUACACUCUACCAUUGCUAAUCCUCUCGAUUUCAGACCUCUUGCAUCAGAUCUUUGCCUCUCAAGAGUUUCUUCACCUUGAAUUUGCUAAACCUGUAGUUUUUGCCUCCUGUAAUUAAUUUGAUUGACAUGGAUUGAAGAAAACCCCUUUUUCUUAUACAAUUGAAAUAUGAAAGCCC